rnacentral:rRNA from 1 species
CCCAGACUCCUACGGGAGGCAGCAGUGGGGGAUAUUGCACAAUGGGGGGAACCCUGAUGCAGCGACGCCGCGUGGGUGAAGGAGCGUUUCGGCGCGUAAAGCCCUGUCGGCAGGGAAGAAGGAGGACGGUACCUGACUAAGAAGCCCCGGCUAACUACGUGCCAGCAGCCGCGGUAAUACGUAGGGGGCAAGCGUUAUCCGGAUUUACUGGGUGUAAAGGGGGCGCAGACGGCAGCGCAAGCCAGGAGUGAAAGCCCGGGGCCCAACCCCGGGACUGCUCUUGGAACUGCGCGGCUGGAGUGCAGGAGGGGCAGGCGGAAUUCCUGGUGUAGCGGUGAAAUGCGUAGAUAUCAGGAGGAACACCGGUGGCGAAGGCGGCCUGCUGGACUGCGACUGACGUUGAGGCCCGAAAGCGUGGGGAGCAAACAGGAUUAGAUACCCGCGUAG